rnacentral:lncRNA from 1 species
GAAUGAAAAUAAGUUUGUAAAUUUCCAGUAUCUGAAACCAUUAAAUUUCCAGUAGCUGAGCCUCUUCGUGAAAUCACAAAGAUGAAAGCUUUAAAAUCAAAAAACACCUAAAGAACCUUUGCAGAGGCAUGAAUUUACAGUUUGCAGCUUUACCUAAAAGUUUGCAGCUUUACAGUGCGGAGGCAUGAAUUUACCUUCUUUAAUUGCCAACCAAUUGAAACCUUUGCGCGUUUCCCUGUUAGGUUUCAAACUUUAUGCUUUCCUUAACUCUUGCUUGCUAACUCACUCCCCAACUGAUCAGAAACCCCUAAAUAACGAACAAUAGAGAGAUGCAUAAAAAGGGAGGAGAAAAAAACGAGAACACCAAUGGACUCAAUUAGGAGAUUUUCAUAAACAUGUCCCAAACAUGUAAU